rnacentral:rRNA from 1 species
UACGGAGGGUGCAAGCAUUAAUCGGAUUCAUUGGGCGUAAAGGGGGCGCAGGCGGAUAUUUAAGCCAGAUGUGAAAUCCCGGGGCUCAACCCCGGAACUGCAUUUGGAACUACUUAUCUAGAGGAUAGGCGGAGAAAACGGAAUUCCACAUGUAGCGGUGAAAUGCGUAGAGAUGUGGAAGAACACCGGUGGCGAAGGCGGUUUUCUAGCUUAUUCCUGACGCUCAGGCCCGAAAGCUAGGGGAGCGAACAGG